rnacentral:tRNA from 1 species
UGGAGAUGCCGGAGAUCGAACCCGGGACCUUUCACAUGCAAAGCGGACGCUCUACCACUGAGCUACAUCCCC